UCUAACGGACCAUGCAUCGCCAACUUGAAGUCGAAGAGCUACAAAUGCCGAAACGUAAACGAAAAGCUAGAACCGCGGGCGGAAGGACUGCGGCGAGUCGGUAGACGGCAAGCGGCCCUUAACCCUUCCUGAUUUCUAGGAGGAUUAACGGGAUCUACCGAAGAGGGAGCGGGCGCCGCAGAUGGCGAAGAGGACGGCGGCGGCGGCGGCGGCGGCGCAGCCGGAUUCCCCACGUCGACGACGACCCUGACGGCUCCGACCGCCGUGGCGGUGGCCCUAUUCGCACUCAUGGUGCGCGUGAUGGUCUCGUUGGGGCGGGGGGAACGCCGCCCAAGUACGGCGACUACGAGGGGCAGUGGGACUGGAUACCCUCCACACCCCAGCCUCGGAGUGGAAGCUGCUGAUGAGGUGGAUAAAGAAGGAGGGUCAGCACCGUGGCUGCUCGCUAUGAUUUUGUUCACACCUUGUUUGAUCCUCAUCGAUCAUGGUCAUUUCCAGCCUUGGAUUAAUGCUGCUAUCCUGUCAAGGAAUGAGGUUGCUGCUUCUGCCCUCUUCAGUCUUGCAAUCAACCACAAACAGAUGAGCUUAUACUUUUGCACCAGCAUUUUCAGCCAUCUUCUGGGAAAAUGCCUUAGGCAUCAUGAUCCAAUUUUUGAGGUGAUGAAAGUAGGCUUUGUGGUCAUGGGAACAUUUGCACUUGUCUGGUGGCCUUAUCUAUAUUCUCUGGAAGCGGUGAUGGAGGUAAAAAUCCUUGUUCCUAUUUCUCUUCACAAUAUCAGUGAUUGAUGUAUCAUCUGGGUUAUCUUCUUGAUUGAUCAAGGUCUGAAAUCAUGUUUUGCAGUAGCUUCUUGAUUCGUUAUGUGAAUUAGUACAAUCAGCUUGUAUCUCAUCCUCGACUUUCUGUUUCAAACUCGUUGUUUUAACUGGCUAAUUUCAUGAGGUCCACUUUUUUCCUGUCUCUAGAAAUUGAAGUUAAAACUAGUCCUUUUCAUGAGCAUAAACCGGUUCUUUCAUGACUAGCUCCCCUUGAGAGAGGAAUAUAUGAGGAUUAUGUUGCCAACUUUUGGUGUGGCACCUCAAUUUUCAUAAGGUGGAAGAGACUUUUCACAAUACAGUCAAUGAAGUUUCUUAGUUUCGUCACCACUGUCUCAGCCUUCCUGCCCUGCUUUGUUGAGCAAGUAAAGGCUCCAAGUGAGGUGGUUUUCUUUAUGCUUUGCUUAAUAGUUCAUUUUCUUUCUACCUCUUCUCUUACCAAGGUAUGUUCCUCAAGCAUUGAUUUUUUUUAGCUUUCUCUAUAGUCAGUCACAUCUUGAUAUCAUGUUAAUGAAAGUUUUUGAUACUUAAUUUUCAUUUUGCGUGUUGGGAACUGAAAUAGUGCAUGAGAAGUCAAUUCUGCUGCCUAUUUUACCUGCAAGCCUUUUAGCACUACAAGAGCCUCUUCUUUGUCGUGAUCGUUUGAUAUUGCAAUACACUUCAGUUCUUGCUCUCGUUGGUUUUAUUUUCUACUCACCUGAUGGUAGAAGUGGGAUGAGAGCAUACAGUAUCUCUGUUACAAAGAGUGCACUUGUGACCUUGCCGAUGUUGUGCUCCUUUAUGCUUCAUGUCAUUUACUUAAGUCUGCAGCCGCGAGAAAACAAUGGAUGUUAUUGGACUGCUCUACUUGGACAGACAGAGGCAAAAGUUUCUUUGAUCCUGAAAUUUAAGCAAAAGUUAUAUGUAGCUGUUAUUUUUCACUAUGAAUGGACUCGAUCUUCUUUGAAAUGAUUGAAACUAAUAUGCAUGUGUUUGAUUUUAAAAGUU